AAGCGGCAGUUGGCUGGUGGAUUGGUCUGACGGACGAGGAGGUUGAAAAGGUCUACAGAUGGACGGACACAAACGAUAUACUCACCCAGGAAGAUUAUACGGACUGGGCUGUAGGGGAACCAAAUGACGUUGGGCACCACGAGGACUGUGUGCACAUAUACAGUGGCAAAGACUUGCAUUGGAACGAUUACAUUUGUACAGAACGCCAACCGUUCAUAUGUGAGCAGAAUCCGGAGACAGAGCUCGGAAUCGUUGGAUAACAUAUUUCAA